ACACGACUACAUUAGAUACCCGUGUAGUCCUAGCCGUAAACGAUACUCGCUAGGUGUCGGCCACGGUGCGACCGUUGUCGGUGCCGUAGGGAAGCCGUGAAGCGAGCCACCUGGGAAGUACGGCCGCAAGGCUGGAAACUUAAAGGAAUUGGCGGGGAGCACAACAACGGGUGGAGCUUGCGGUUUAAUUGGAUUCAACGCCGGAAAUCUUACCGGGACCGACAGCAACAUGAAGGCCAAGCUGAAGACUUUGCCGGAUUAGCUG
rnacentral:rRNA from 1 species